rnacentral:lncRNA from 1 species
UUUUUAGUAAGAAAGAAAAUGGUUUCUGAAGACUUUACAAUGGGAACUUUUCUCUUCUCCCAUAUUACAUUGGGAAUGAUUGGCAACUCUUCCAUACUGCUUUAUUAUAUAAUUUUGAAAUUCACUAGAAAACAUUUAAUGCCCAAAGACUUGAUUAUAGAGCAAUUGAUUUUUGCCAAGUUCUUGUCUAUCAUCUCAAGAGGUAUUCCAAAGACACUGUCAACUCGUGGAUAUAAAGAUUUCCUAGAUGAUAUUGGAUGUAAAUUAAUAAACUACAUUUACCGAAUAACACGGGGAAUGUCCCUGUAUGCAAUGUGCCUACUGAGUUCUUUCCAAGCUAUCAAAAUCAACCCCAGCAAUUCCGGCAGAUGAUAAUUAAACACAAAGCCAGCAAGUACAUUGGUCCUUCCUGCACAGUAGGGUGGUGUGUGCAUCUCUUUCUAAAUGUCUUGACUCCAGUAAGAGUGUCAGGCCUGAGGUACAACAAAAAUGUUAGUACGAGGAUCAGUUAUGAAUACUGCUCAUGGUUUGCUUCUGGAAAUGUGGGAACUGCACUGUAUACGUUUUUAUUGAUCUUCUCAGAUCGACUGUUUCUGAGUCUAAUGGCCUCAUCAAGUACUUACAUGGUGAGUCUCCUCUACAGACAUAAAAGGAAAGUCAAGCAUAUCCAUAGUUCUCAGCACUUUCUAAAUGUCUCACCUGAAAACAAAGCUACCCAAACUAUCCUCAUCCUGGUAUGCAUGUUUGUCACAUCUUACUCAUUCUCCUUCUUUUUAAUCAUCUUUGCAACCUACUCCAAAUAUCCAAUGCUAUGGGAUGUAAGUGUAUUACAUUUCUGGAAAUAUGCUUUGCUAUAUUUUGCCCCUUUGAUCUCAUUAGAAAUAUGAAGUCAAGUCUUUUACCCUGUUUUAUUAAGAGAUAG